UGAGGUGACCAAAUGCUUAGUAGGGU
rnacentral:piRNA from 1 species